rnacentral:lncRNA from 1 species
UCCCUUUCUACCUCCCAAGCCUAACGAAAGAGGAAAGAAGAGACGGUGAGAUAGGAAGGGGCUUGGGAAAGACAAUGUAGCUAAAUAGAGGGUAGAGAGUUAUAGGAAAUGGGAGUAGGGAAAGCAAGAAAGACAAUGGUGGAAAAUCUGUCAUAUUAUUCUAUGUAUAGCUGAAGUGUCAUCCAUCUCUAUCUCGCUGUGUUGCCUCGGAGAGGGAAAGGGCAGGAAUGACUGGUCAAGGAAAAACUAACUGAUGGAAAUAGAGAACACUAUAAAAGAGAAGGGAUGUUGACAAGAUGCCAAGGUGACCAGGCCGGUGGUGGCUGGUCCCCUACAAGAAGAUGAGGUGCCGGAGGUCCCUCCACCCCCCGAUGUCCAGGGGGGGGUCCCCGGCGUACAGCGUAAGGGCCAUUCUGGACUCGAGACGCCGGGCGUGGGGCCUGCAGUACCUCGUGGACUGGGAGGGGUACGGUCCGGAGGAGAGGUGCUGGGUGCUGGCGGAGGACGUCUUGGACCCAUCCAUGUUGAAGGAGUUCCACCGCCUCCGUCCGGAUCGCCCUGCGCCUCGUCCUCCGGGUCGGCCUCGAGGCCGG